rnacentral:rRNA from 1 species
AGAGUUUGAUCCUGGCUCAGGAUGAACGCUAGCGGGAGGCUUAACACAUGCAAGUCGAGGGGCAUCACGAGUCCGCCGUAAGGCGGAUUUGGUGGCGACCGGCAGACGGGUGAGUAACGCGUAUGCAACCUACCCUGUACAGGGGGAUAACCCGGAGAAAUUCGGACUAAUACCCCAUAAAUUUAUCGGAGGGCAUCCUUUGAUAAUUAAAGCUCCGGCGGUACGGGAUGGGCAUGCGUAACAUUAGCUGGUUGGUAAGGUAACGGCUUACCAAGGCUUUGAUGUUUAGGGGUCCUGAGAGGGUGGUCCCCCACACUGGUACUGAGACACGGACCAGACUCCUACGGGAGGCAGCAGUGAGGAAUAUUGGUCAAUGGGCGCAAGCCUGAACCAGCCAUCCCGCGUGCAGGAAGACGGCCCUAUGGGUUGUAAACUGCUUUUCCGAAAGGUGAAACUCAGCGACGUGUCGUUGAUUGACGGUAUUUUGGGAAUAAGCAUCGGCUAACUCCGUGCCAGCAGCCGCGGUAAUACGGAGGAUGCGAGCGUUAUCCGGAUUCAUUGGGUUUAAAGGGUGCGUAGGCGGACUAAUAAGUCAGUGGUGAAAUCCUGCAGCUUAACUGCAGAACUGCCAUUGAUACUGUUAGUCUUGAGUUUGGUUAAGGUAGGCGGAAUGUGUAAUGUAGCGGUGAAAUGCUUAGAUAUUACACAGAACACCAAUUGCGUAGGCAGCUUACUGGACCGACACCGACGCUGAGGCACGAAAGCGUGGGGAUCGAACAGGAUUAGAUACCCUGGUAGUCCACGCCGUAAACGAUGAUUACUCGCUGUUGGCGAUACACAGUCAGCGGCUAAGCAAAAGCAAUAAGUAAUCCACCUGGGGAGUACGGCCGCAAGGUUGAAACUCAAAGGAAUUGACGG